UACGAAGGGGGCUAGCGUUGUUCGGAAUUACUGGGCGUAAAGCGCGCGCAGGCGGCUAUCCAAGUCAGUGGUGAAAGCCCGGAGCGCAACUCCGGAACUGCCAUUGAAACUGUUUAGCUUGAGGAUGAGAGAGGUGAGUGGAAUUCCCAGUGUAGAGGUGAAAUUCGUAGAUAUUGGGAAGAACACCGGUGGCGAAGGCGGCUCACUGGCUCAUUACUGACGCUCAGGCGCGAUAGCGUGGGGAUCAAACAGG
rnacentral:rRNA from 1 species